rnacentral:rRNA from 1 species
UACGUAGGGUGCAAGCGUUGUCCGGAAUUAUUGGGCGUAAAGAGCUCGUAGGCGGUCUGUCGCGUCGGCUGUGAAAACUCGGGGCUCAACUCCGAGCUUGCAGUCGAUACGGGCAGGCUAGAGUUCGGCAGGGGAGACUGGAAUUCCUGGUGUAGCGGUGAAAUGCGCAGAUAUCAGGAGGAACACCGAUGGCGAAGGCAGGUCUCUGGGCUGACACUGACGCUCAUGCACGAAAGCGUGGGGAGCAAACAGG